GACCGAACCCGAACUAAGCAAAACUUCGGUCUUCGGUUAGUAGCUCGGUCUUGUCCACACAGUGACCGAAAUAAUCUCGGGCUGUUCGGUCGUCAUUGCCAGGAGACCGAACUGCCCGAACCCCGAAGAGACCGGCCAUUGUUUCUGAGCGCAUGGAUUAUCCCAGCGUUUCUCUAUUCCCCUCCUUAGAUCUCACUUCUGUUCUUGUUGAUCUAGCAAACAGCGGAGGAGGGGACAUGCCUUAGCGCCGCCACACCCCAGUUCAACCCAUCACAUCCACAUCUAUCAGCCCGCCUCUCCAUCCCCGCCACACCGCCUCGCCGCCAGCAAACCGUCGACCUGGCCGCCGGCAGCGAGCUGCACCACCUGACCGCGACCCCGCCGGAUCUCCGACCUUGGGCGCUGCUGCCGGACCUCCGCGACAGGCCACACCACCAUGCAGAUGCUGCUCCGCCCGUGGCUGCACUGCUCCUGUGUUUGCGAUAAUUGGAUGCGAUGGCCUCUAGUCUGCAACCGAUCCAUCAUGAUCAUCCACGUUCUUUGUUCCUGCCUAUGUUAUAUACACAGAAUUAACCAUGUAAUUUAUUUACUUUUGCUGCUGCCACAAUUAACCAUGUUGCAUAUGCAUAUGCUUCAUGGACAAAGUUGCUUGAAGAGUUUGGUGAAAAAGCCCGAGAGGGAAGCGCAAGGCCGAUGGUUCUGCUGCCGAUGCAUCCGCGGCGUUGGGCAAGUCAAGCAAGGUUGCUUGAUGAAUGGUUGCACACUUCCCAGCAACUUCUAUUAUCUAUGUGCACUUGUCAACUGUUACUUGUCAAGUUUGUUUGAGAAUGUGAGAUUGAAACUUGAUACGGAGUAUUUGCUAUUUGUAAGAGUUGUGAGUGCUAACGUAUGAUGUUGUGCCUGCUAUUUUGUGCUGGCAAGUGCUAACAUAUGAUAUUGUGGUUCCAUUUGUGUUGCAAA